GUGCUCACUUUAGCAGUACAUAUACUAAAAUUGGAACAUGACAGAGAAGAUUAGCAUGGCCUUUGUGCAAGGAUGACAUGCAAAUUCAUGAAGUAUUCUGUAUUUUU
ensembl:snRNA U6 U6 spliceosomal RNA